rnacentral:rRNA from 1 species
AAACGACUGCUAAUUCCGCAUAGGACAUAGGAUCACAUGAUCCAGUGAGGAAAAGGUGGCGCAAGCUAUCGCUGAGAGAUGGACCCCGCGGUGCAUUAGCUAGUUGGUAGGGUAAAGGCCUACCAAGGCGAUGAUGCAUAGCCGACCUGAGAGGGUGAUCGGCCACAUUGGGACUGAGACACGGCCCAAACUCCUACGGGAGGCAGCAGUAGGGAAUCUUCCGCAAUGGACGCAAGUCUGACGGAGCAACGCCGCGUGAGUGAAGAAGGUCUUCGGAUCGUAAAGCUCUGUUGUUAGAGAAGAACAGCGCAUAGAGUAGCUGCUAUGCGUGUGACGUAUCUAACCAAAAG